UUUUCCGGUUGAUCCUGCCAGACCUGACUGCUAUCGGAUUGAUACUAAGCCAUGCGAGUCAUUGUAGCAAUACAAGGCAUACGGCUCAGUAACGCGUAGUCAACCUAACCUAUGGACGGGAAUAACCUCGGGAAACUGAGAAUAAUGCCCGAUAGAACACUAUAUCUGGAAUGGUUUGUGUUCCAAAUGAUUUAUCGCCGUAGGAUGGGACUGCGGCCUAUCAGUUUGUUGGUGAGGUAAUGGCCCACCAAGACUAUUACAGGUACGGGCUCUGAGAGGAGUAGCCCGGAGAUGGGUACUGAGACACGGACCCAGGCCCUAUGGGGCGCAGCAGGCGAGAAAACUUUGCAAUGUGCGAAAGCACGACAAGGUUAAUCCGAGUGAUUUGUGCUAAACGAAUCUUUUGUUAGUCCUAGAACCACUAACGAAUAAGGGGUGGGCAAGUUCUGGUGUCAGCCGCCGCGGUAAAACCAGCACCUCAAGUGGUCAGGAUGAUUAUUGGGCCUAAAGCAUCCGUAGCCGGCUCUGUAAGUUUUCGGUUAAAUCUGUACGCUUAACGUACAGGCUGCCGGGAAUACUGCAGAGCUAGGGAGUGGGAGAGGUAGACGGUACUCGGUAGGAAGGGGUAAAAUCCUUUGAUCUAUUGAUGACCACCUGUGGCGAAGGCGGUCUACCAGAACACGUCCGACGGUGAGGGAUGAAAGCUGGGGGAGCAAACCGGAUUAGAUACCCGGGUAGUCCCAGCUGUAAACUAUGCAAACUCAGUGAUGCAUUGACUUGUGGUCAAUGCAGUGCUGCAGGGAAGCCGUUAAGUUUGCCGCCUGGGAAGUACGUACGCAAGUAUGAAACUUAAAGGAAUUGGCGGGGGAGCACCACAAGGGGUGAAGCCUGCGGUUCAAUUGGAGUCAACGCCGGAAAUC
rnacentral:rRNA from 1 species